CCUACGGGUGGCAGCAGUGAGGAAUAUUGGUCAAUGGACGAGAGUCUGAACCAGCCAAGUAGCGUGAAGGAUGACUGCCCUAUGGGUUGUAAACUUCUUUUAUAUGGGAAUAAAAUGUUCCACGUGUGGGAUUUUGUAUGUACUAUAUGAAUAAGGAUCGGCUAACUCCGUGCCAGCAGCCGCGGUAAUACGGAGGAUCCGAGCGUUAUCCGGAUUUAUUGGGUUUAAAGGGAGCGUAGGUGGAUUGUUAAGUCAGUUGUGAAAGUUUGCGGCUCAACCGUAAAAUUGCAGUUGAAACUGGCAGUCUUGAGGACAGUAGAGGUGGGCGGAAUUCGGUGUGUAGCGGUGAAAUGCUUAGAUAUCGCGAAGAACUCCGAUUGCGAAGACAGUUCACUGGACUGCAACUCACACUGAGGCUCGAAAGUGUGGGUAUCAAACAGGAUUAGAUACCCCAGGUC
rnacentral:rRNA from 1 species